rnacentral:rRNA from 1 species
UACGGGGGGGGCAAGCGUUGUUCGGAAUUACUGGGCGUAAAGGGCUCGUAGGCGGCCAACUAAGUCAUACGUGAAAUCCCUCGGCUUAACCGGGGAACUGCGUCUGAUACUGGAUGGCUUGAGUUCGGGAGAGGGAUGCGGAAUUCCAGGUGUAGCGGUGAAAUGCGCAGAUAUCAGGAGGAACACCGGUGGCGAAGGCGGUUCUCUGGGCAUGUCCUGACGCUGAGGAGCGAAAGCGUGGGGAGCGAACAGG